UGGGAGAGUGGUUACAGUAACAUCUAUGGCUGCAACUGCGGAUCAAGCUGCCUUCAUACCAAGUAUUCCGAAGGGAAACACGACGGACGAUACUCAGGAAACCCUGCGAACAACCGCCUUUCCAAGCAACCAUGUUAAGGAAAAUGGGCUAAAAACUAUAUAUUGCGUCGAUUUGUUACGGUCGGACAGUCUGCUAAUUCCGACCUGUACAUUCUGACUUAAUCCCAAAAGAAAAAUGCAAAAAUGUUCAGUUUU